UACGUAGGUGACAAGCGUUGUCCGGAUUUACUGGGCGUAAAGAGCGCGCAGGCGGUCGAUCAAGUCGAGUGUGAAAGCCCCCGGCUCAACUGGGGAGGGUCAUUCGAUACUGAUCGACUCGAAGGCAGGAGAGGGUAGUGGAAUUCCCGGUGUAGUGGUGAAAUGCGUAGAUAUCGGGAGGAACACCAGUGGCGAAGGCGGCGCACUUGACAGUAACUGACACUCAACUGCGAAAGCGUGGGGAGCAAACAGG
rnacentral:rRNA from 1 species